rnacentral:rRNA from 1 species
AACGAACGCUGGCGGCAGGCCUAACACAUGCAAGUCGAGCGAGGACUUCGGUUCUAGCGGCGGACGUGUGAGUAACGCGUGGGAAUGUGCCCUUCUCUACGGAAUAGCCCUGGGAAACUGGUAGCAAUACCGUAUACGCCCUAUGGGGGAAAGACUUAUCGGAGAAGGCUCAGCCCGCGUUGGAUUAGGUAGUUGGUGAGGUAAUGGCCUACCAAGCCGACGAUCCAUAGCUGGUGUGAGAGGAUGAUCAGCCACACUGGGACUGAGACACGGCCCCGACUCCUACGGGACGCAGCAGUGGGGUGUCUUAGGCAAUCGAGCCUAACCUAGUCUAGCCACGCCGCGUGAGUGAUGAAUGCGUUAGGGUUGUAAAGCUCUUUCAGCUGGGACGAUAAUGACGGUACCAGCAGAAGAAGCCCCGGCUAACUCCGUG